rnacentral:rRNA from 1 species
ACCUGAUCCCAUUCCGAACUCAGAAGUGAAACGACUUAGCGCCGAUGGUAGUGUGGGGUUUCCCCAUGUGAGAGUAGGUCAUCGUCAAGC